rnacentral:rRNA from 1 species
UACGUAGGGUGCGAGCGUUAAUCGGAAGUACUGGGCGUAAAGCGUGCGCAGGCGGUUCGUUGUGUCGGCGGUGAAAGCCCGGCUCAACCUGGGAAUGGCCGUUGAAACUGGCGAACUGGAGUGUGGCAGAGGGGGUGGAAUUCCGCGUGUAGCAGUGAAAUGCGUAGAGAUGCGGAGGAACACCGAUGGCGAAGGCAGCCCCUGGCUGACACUGACGCUCAGGCACGAAAGCGUGGGAGCAACAGG